CGUCAAAAUAUGCAGUAAAGGUAUUCUUCAACUGGCAGAUUGAAAAAUUACGGGACAUUUUACGGUAAUUUUACGAAAAAAGACAACGACAAUGCAGGGAAGAGUGGACAACUGUGCAGCCGGGCGAGUUUUACGUGGUGUGACGUAGGUUUUUACACAACAAAGUGGCAAGGAGGGGACAAGGAAUAUGCAUUGAGCAUUUUGAAGGAGACUCCGAGUUAAAGAAGAAUAUUCAGCACCACUACAUCCCAGUCAUACAGUUGCACAGUGAAGGCAAAUGGAGAGAAGACAUACUGCACCGCAUAUGCCAGUCAAUGUGUGCACAGCUACAAUGUAUCUCAUUGGCUGCAGACAGCAAGAACACUACCGAUGUGGCAUGGCAUUUGGAGGCAGAACAUUGCGCUGCGUUUUGCAUAUCCUUUCAAGUUGACACUUGUUAAUGCAUCAUUGGCAUGUUGUAUCCACAGUUUAUCCUUUCAUCACAAUUGCAGGCCUCUUAUUUGGAACACAAGUAAGGCCUAGGAAAAAAUGUUGAGUUUCCUGUUGUUUCAGUCCAGAAAAAA